GUACACUCCUACGGGAGGCAGCAGUGGGGAAUUUUGGACAAUGGGCGAAAGCCUGAUCCAGCAAUGCCGCGUGAGUGAAGAAGGCCUUCGGGUUGUAAAGCUCUUUUGUCAGGGAAGAAACGGUGAGAGCUAAUAUCUCUUGCUAAUGACGGUACCUGAAGAAUAAGCACCGGCUAACUACGUGCCAGCAGCCGCGGUAAUACGUAGGGUGCAAGCGUUAAUCGGAAUUACUGGGCGUAAAGCGUGCGCAGGCGGUUUUGUAAGUCUGAUGUGAAAUCCCCGGGCUCAACCUGGGAAUUGCAUUGGAGACUGCAAGGCUAGAAUCUGGCAGAGGGGGGUAGAAUUCCACGUGUAGCAGUGAAAUGCGUAGAUAUGUGGAGGAACACCGAUGGCGAAGGCAGCCCCCUGGGUCAAGAUUGACGCUCAUGCACGAAAGCGUGGGGAGCAAACAGGAUUAGAUACCCCGGUAGUCCCAUG
rnacentral:rRNA from 1 species